rnacentral:rRNA from 1 species
UACGUAGGGACCGAGCGUUGUCCGGAUUCAUUGGGCGUAAAGAGCUCGUAGGCGGCUGUUCAAGUCGAACGUGAAAACUCGGAGCUCAACUCCGAGCCUGCGUUCGAUACUGGACGGCUAGAGUCUGGUAGGGGGAUCUGGAAUUCCUGGUGUAGCGGUGAAAUGCGCAGAUAUCAGGAGGAACACCGAUUGCGAAGGCAGCUCGCUGGAACGUUACUGACGCUGAGACGCGAAAGCGUGGGGAGCAAACAGG